CGGUGUUCAACUGGCGUGCCCGCGGGACGUCCUGCCGGUGAGCUCAGCCCGCGAGGGCGGCUCAACUUGAAAUCCCAUCGCGGUGCUCUUCAUUGAGUGUCGAGGUGGGCCGGCCACGAUUACUUUUGAACAAAUUAGAGUGCUUAAAGCAGGCUAAAAUUUUGCCUGAAUACUGUGUAUAUGGAAUAAUGGAAUAGGACCUCGGUUCUAUUUUGUUGGUUUUCGGAACCCCCGAGGGUAAUGAUUAAUAGGAACGGAUGGGGGCAUUCGUAUUGCGACGUUAGAGGUGAAAUUCUUGGAUCGUCGCAAGACGGACUAAAGCGAAAGCAUUUGCCAAAAACGCUUUCAUUGAUCAAGAACGAAAGUUAGAGGUUCGAAGGCGAUCAGAUACCGCCCUAGUUCUAACCAUAAACUAUGCCAGCUAGCGAUCCGCCGACGUCCCUCUGAUGACUCGGCGGGCAGCUUCCGGGAAACCAAAGCUUUUGGGUUCCGGGGGAAGUAUGGUUGCAAAGCUGAAACUUAAAGGAAUUGACGGAAGGGCACCACCAGGAGUGGAGCCUGCGGCUUAAUUUGACUCAACACGGGAAACCUCACCAGGCCCAGACACUGGAAGGAUUGACAGAUUGAGAGCUCUUUCUUGAUUCAGUGGGUGGUGGUGCAUGGCCGUUCUUAGUCGGUGGAGCGAUUUGUCAGGUUAAUUCCGAUAACGGACGAGACUCUGACCUGAUAACUAGACGCACUUGCGGCAUCUCAAAGGUCCGCCGGCGGCUGGCUUUGCGCCCGUCGUCGCGCGCGAUUUUUACUGCCGGCGUACAAUAAAUUCUUCUUAGAGGGACAAGUGG
rnacentral:rRNA from 1 species